rnacentral:rRNA from 1 species
AAUGGCUCACCAAGGCGAAGACGGGUAGGCUGGUCUGAGAGGAUGAUCAGCCACACUGGAACUGAGACACGGUCCAGACUCCGUACGGGAGGCAGCAGGUGGGAAUAUUGCGCAAGUGGGACGAAAGCCUGACGCAGCCACGCCGCGUGAGCGAUGAAGGUCUUCGGAUCGUAAAGCUCUGGUGGGGGGAGAAGAAGAAAGUCGGUGAAGAGCCGGCCCUGACGGUAUCCCCUUAGCAAGCACCGGCUAACUCCGUGCCAGCAGCCGCGGUAAUACGGAGGGUGCAAACGUUGCUCGGAAUCAUUGGGCGUAAAGCGCGCGUAGGCGGCUGAACAAGUUGGAUGUGAAAGCCCUGGGCUCAACCUAGGAUGUGCAUUCAAAACUGUUCGGCUUGAGUCUCGGAGGGGGUCAGAGAAUUCUCGGUGUAGAGGUGAAAUUCGUAGAUAUCGGGAG